GGGAGAUACCAUGAUCAAGAAGGUGGUUCACCCAGGGCGAGCUCCAUCUCGGCCACCGCAGCAGCCGGUACCCAGGCCGCGGUGCCACGUGGCUGGCAGGUUCUUGUACACGGCCCGGCUGUACGGGAUGAAGCACAGGCCCAGCUGGAGGUGACGGGCCAGGCGACAGUAUGCAGCCAGUGCCAAGACCAGCAGAGGGGUCACCAAGAGGAAGCCCACCACCAGUAGAGCCACACAGCCUCCGUCAGUCAGCAGGUCUGAGCAGUAGGGGGUCGUCCCAUGAGGGCGGACCUGUAAAGACAACAGAAGGACAUAAUGACACGGCAAAAGGUUGUUGAUGAGCUCCAUCUCGGCCACCGCAGCAGCCGGUGCACAGGCCGCGGUGUCGCGUGGCUGGCAGGUUCUUGUACACGGCCCGGCUGUACGGGAUGAAGCACAGGCCCAGCUGGAGGUGUCGGGCCAGGCGACAGUAUGCAGCCAGUGCCAAGACCAGCAGAGGGGUCACCAAGAGGAAGCCCACCACCAGUAGAGCCACACAGCCUCCGUCAGUCAGCAGGUCUGUGCAGUAGGGGGUCGUCCCAUGAGGGCGGACCUGUAAAGACAACAGAAGGACAUAAUGACACGGCAAAAGGUUGUUGAUGAGGUCCUGGUUAAUCCCCCUCUAAGCUGCUGUCACAUGAGGUCUAACUGUGAGGGCAGGAGAACAGAGAGAAUCCUGAUCUCUCCGGUCAUUAAGGAGGUCCUCAGCCAACAGAAAUGCCAUUGAGUGGCAAAGGAAGCCAAACACCACCAUGACGAUGGCUGGCGUCAGGAUGGUGCCAAACACCAGUCCAGCGAGGCAGGCAUUGAUCGCAGCAAUCAGCAGAUUCUGAGCUGUUACCAGUACGGAGCAGGCCCAGCAGUCCAGGGACCCCCUUAACUCCAGAGGAGCUUCACUGCCCCCACCACCACAUUCUGCUGCAGAAUACGGAGGAGGAGUUUUGGUUAUGGCUGAGGAGGUGCAGGAGGGGAGCUCUGUCACCGGGAGGAGGAGGAGGCGGCGGCCUGGU